GACGAACGCUGGCGGCGUGCUUAACACAUGCAAGUCGAACGGAAAGGCCCUGCUUUUGUGGGGUGCUCGAGUGGCGAACGGGUGAGUAACACGUGAGUAACCUGCCCUUGACUUUGGGAUAACUUCAGGAAACUGGGGCUAAUACCGGAUAGGAGCUACUGCUGCAUGGUGGGGGUUGGAAAGUUUCGGCGGUGGGGGAUGGACUCGCGGCCUAUCAGCUUGUUGGUGGGGUAGUGGCUUACCAAGGCUUUGACGGGUAGCCGGCCUGAGAGGGUGACCGGCCACAUUGGGACUGAGAUACGGCCCAGACUCCUCCGGGAGGCAGCAGUGGGGAAUAUUGCACAAUGGGCGGAAGCCUGAUGCAGCAACGCCGCGUGCGGGAUGACGGCCUUCGGGUUGUAAACCGCUUUCGCCUGUGACGAAGCGUGAGUGACGGUAAUGGGUAAAGAAGCACCGGCUAACUACGUG
rnacentral:rRNA from 1 species